UCUCUGAUUGACAAGACCCCAAAGAAGUUCAGACAGUUUCAGGAGCAAUGGAAGUCUCUGACUCCAGGCUCUGAAGCCUAUCAGAGGCUGCAUCAUCAAAUCCUAGCAGAUUAUCAGCAGCUACAACAGGGUAGCCCCAGCUACUCUGAAAUGAAGAGCAGGUGCCAGUACCUCCACAAAAAGCUGGCCCAUAUUCAGAGGCGCAUUUCUGAAUAUGACCAGCAGUGAGUGGAGUCCUGGCACCAGACAUCUGCUUCAGCCUGGUGA